GCCCCGUUAGUGUAGCCCGGCCAAUCAUUUCGCCCUCUCGAGGCGAAGACCCGGGUUCAAACUGGUAUAAGGUUAUUCCUUUGCCAUGAAUGUCCCGGACGGGGCG
rnacentral:tRNA from 1 species